rnacentral:lncRNA from 1 species
UCAUCCAAGGCUAUGCUUAGGUCAGUUAACCAUGAGACAUCAAGGGAGGAACUAAGGCGGCAACACCAGGCAGAAUUGGCCCGCCAAAAGAACGAAGAAACUGCACGGAGGCUCACAGGAGGAAGUUCUGGGGGGUCAGAUAGCCGUGGAGCUGUGAAAGCCACUGGUGAACUGGUUGCAUAUAAGAACGUUAAUGAUCUGCCACCUCCAAGAGAUUUGAUGAUUCAGGUUGACCAGAAGAAUGAGGCUAUUCUUUUACCUAUUCAUGGAACCAUGAUACCAUUCCAUGUCUCCACUGUGAAAAGUGUAUCUAGUCAACAAGAUACUAACCGUACCUGCUAUAUCCGAAUAAUGUUCAAUGUUCCUGGCACUCCAUUCACUCCUCAUGACACAAAUAGUCUAAAGUUCCAGGGGUCAAUAUAUGUUAAAGAAGUUUCAUUUCGUUCAAAGGACCCAAGGCACAUCACUGAAGUGGUUCAACAAAUAAGAUCCCUUCGCAGGCAGGUUGUCUCUAGAGAAUCAGAGAGAGCUGAGAGAGCAACUUUAGUAACACAGGAGAAACUUCAAGUUGCUGGAGCCAAAUUUAAGCCAAUAAAAUUGUCAGAUCUGUGGAUUCGUCCAGUAUUUGGUGGUCGUGGGAGAAAGCUUACUGGUACACUGGAAGCUCAUGCCAAUGGUUUCCGGUAUUCAACCACAAGACAAGAUGAACGUGUUGACAUCAUGUAUGGUAAUAUCAAGCAUGCCUUCUUCCAGCCAGCAGAGAAGGAGAUGAUUACCGUCCUCCACUUUC